UACGAAGGGGGCUAGCGUUGCUCGGAAUUACUGGGCGUAAAGGGCGCGUAGGCGGAUAGUUUAGUCAGAGGUGAAAGCCCAGGGCUCAACCUUGGAAUUGCCUUUGAUACUGGCUGUCUUGAGUUCGGGAGAGGUGAGUGGAAUGCCGAGUGUAGAGGUGAAAUUCGUAGAUAUUCGCAAGAACACCAGUGGCGAAGGCGGCUCACUGGCCCGAUACUGACGCUGAGGCACGAAAGCGUGGGGAGCGAACAGG
rnacentral:rRNA from 1 species